rnacentral:rRNA from 1 species
UACGAAGGGGGCUAGCGUUGUUCGGAAUUACUGGGCGUAAAGCGUGUGUAGGCGGUCCACUAAGUCGGGUGUGAAAGCCCUGGGCUCAACCCAGGAAGUGCACUCGAAACUGGCGGGCUAGAGUAUCGGAGAGGUUGGUGGAAUUCUCGGUGUAGAGGUGAAAUUCGUAGAUAUCGAGAGGAACACCGGUGGCGAAGGCGGCCAACUGGACGAAUAACUGACGGCUAGACACGAAAGCGUGGGGAGCAAACAGGG